ensembl:lncRNA
GCUGAUACCUACAUUCCGGUUAGCAUUGUGAAGCAUAAAGGAAUUAAACACAGAAUGCGUUGAUACAUACCUAAAGCCGAGACUCCACAGAUUAUGAGGAUGUCUUAUUUGUCUGUCUGUGACCAACCGUUAUUGAUCACCAGCCCCGAGAGUCAAAAUGUUUAUUUUACACAAUGUUUUCACCAAACAGUAAACAUCUUACAAGGACCUGAACCCUAGGACCAUGCCUCAGGACUCAGGACCUGGCAUGAUGACUCCUUGUUGUCCCCAGUCCACCUGGCCGUGCUGCUGCUCCAGUUUCAACUGUUCUGCCUGCGGCUAUGGAACCCUGACCUGUUCACCGGAUGUGCUACCUGUCCCAGACCUGCUGUUUUCAACUCUCUAGAGACAGCAGGAGCGGUAGAGAUACUCUCAAUGAUCGGCUAUGAAAAGCCAACUGACAUUUACUCCUGAGGUGCUGACUUGUUGCACCCUCGACAACUACUGUGAUUAUUAUUAUUUGACCAUGCUGGUCAUUUAUGAACAUUUGAACAUCUUGGCCAUGUUCUGUUAUAAUCUCCACCCGGCACAGCCAGAAGAGGACUGACCACCCCUCAUAGCCUUGUUCCUCUCUAGGUUUCUUCCUAGGUUUUGGCCUUUCUAGGGAGUUUUUCCUAGCCACCGUGCUUCUACACCUGCAUUGCUUGCUAUUUGGAGUUUUAGGCUGCAUUUCUAUACAGCACUUUGAUAUAUCAGCUGAUGUAAGAAGGGCUAUAUAAAUACAUUUGAUUUGAAAACACUAUGUUUUCAGGACAAAAAGUAAUUGCUUUGCCGCAUUUCUUACAGUAUUACUUUAGUGCCUUGUUGAAAACCGGAUACAUGUUUGGGAUAAUUGUAUUCUGUAUAGGCUUUCUUAUUUUCACUCUGUCAUUUAGGUUAGUAUUGUGGAGUAAAUACAAUGUUGUUGAUCCAUCACAGCUAUUAAACUGUUUUAAAGUGAGAAUAUGUAACUUUUUGGGAGACCCAGCCAAAUUCACAUAGAUCUGUAAUUCACAUUUCUAUCAUUCAAUUUGAAAGCAAGUCCAAGAAGCGUUAGAUCUAUGUGCACUAUUUCUAUGCUUCUGGUUUUUAAGUUUUGUUUUUGCAUCUUUUACUUUCGGUUUUGUAAACCAGCUUCAAACAACAAUAUUUCUGGUUAUGGAAUAUAUAUAUUUCACAGCAGUUUAUAAGGUAUAAUGAUUCUCUACACUGUUAGUUAUUUUGUCACAUAAACUGAAAUUAGGCAAACUAUAAACGUUUUCAACCAGGAAAUGGCAGAGCGAUUUCUGCACAGUGCAACUUUAAAGUCACCAUUGGCCUUAUGGUGAAAUCCCUGAGCUGUUUCCUUCCUCUCCAGCAAAUGAGUUAGGAAGGAGGCUUGUAUCUUUGUAGUGACUGGGUGUAUUGAUACACCAUCCAAAGUGUAAUUAAUAACUUCACCAUGCUCAAAGGGAUAUUCAAAGGGAUAUUUUUUUUACCCAUUGGCCAAUAGGUGCCCUUCUUUCCGAGGCAUUGGAAAACCUCCCUAGUCUUUGGUUGAAUCUGUGUUUGAAAUUCACUGCUCAACUGAGGGAAUUUAGAGAUAAUUUAGCAUGUGGGGUAUGGAGAUGACGUGGUCAUUAAAUUUUAUGUUAAACACUGAUUUUGUGACUUGUUAAAGCAAUUUUUUACUCCUGAACUGAUUUAGGCUUGCAAUAACAAAGGGGUUGAAUACUUGACUCAAG